rnacentral:lncRNA from 1 species
UAUGUUACUAAAUCUUCCGUUUUUAUCCUUGGCAUGCCAUUUUCAAUUUAGAUUUUUCCUUAAAUUAGUUAUAAGAUUAUGUAAUUAGUCAGGUAGCAUGAUAAAAAUCUGUGCUUGAAGAAAUAUAACUAACCUGUGGGAUUUCAUGUUGUACAAUUUUCUUUUUCUUUGAGCUCGAGUCAGCGGCCACAUUAUCCAUUUGCCUCUUACCAUUUUUACUCAAUUGGGGAGUAGUAUUCUUAACUGCUUGUAUACCAUUACCAGUGUCUCGAAUAGCAGGUGGUCCAUUUGAGUCGGACAACACUGUUAUCGAUCGGGUAAUUCGACACGUAGGAGUCUGCAUAUCCUCAUUUUUUGGCUCAAUAAUCUCCAGUGACUUCGAACCUUCGCCAGGCUGACGGUUCCAUAUGUAUAAGAUUUGUGUUUUGUU